rnacentral:tRNA from 1 species
GGGCGCGUAGCUCAGCUGGGAGAGCACCUCGUUUACACCGAGGGGGUCACAGGUUCGAGCCCUGUCGCGCCCACCA